rnacentral:rRNA from 1 species
AUUGAACGCUGGCGGCAGGCCUAACACAUGCAAGUCGAGCGAGCGGCGGACGGGUGAGUAAUGUCUGGGAAACUGCCUGAUGGAGGGGGAUAACUACUGGAAACGGUAGCUAAUACCGCAUACCAUCAGAUGUGCCCAGAUGGGAUUAGCUGGUCGGUGGGGUAACGGCUAACCUAGGCGACGAUCCCUAGCUGACCUGAGAGGAUGACCAGCCAAACUGGAACGGAGACACGGUCCAGACUCCUACGGGAGGCAGCAGUGGGGAAUCUUGCACAAUGGGCGCAAGCCUGAUGCAGCCACGCCGCGUGUGUGAAGAAGGCCUUCGGAUUGUAAAGCGCUGUCAGCGGGGAGGCGUUACCCGCAGAAGAAGCACCGGCUAACUCCGUGCCAGCAGCCGCGGUAAUAC